rnacentral:lncRNA from 1 species
AACUGGGAGAGCCUUGGCAAUACGUGGUCUGGGGCUGUGUGCUUCAUUUUAGGAGUGGACAUCAAUGGCCAGCUGUUGAGUGCCUGCUGUGUGUCAGGCACUGGAUUAGGCGUUCGGUGCACCCCUUGAGUAAUUAAAACUAAAACAACAGCAAAAUAAUUAAAAUUCUGUGAGUGGGUUUGGGUUGGCCAUGCCAUUCUGCACUGAGGAAACUGAGUCGACACUCCCGAAUUAGGUAUUUACCUGUCCUUUCCCUGCAAGCCUACAGGCAAGCUGAGAGAAGCUUAAGGAGACAGACGGGCAGUCGACCGGGACGGUGCGGGCAGAAGCCGCAGGCCAGCCUCGCCCCGCCCACUCCUCCAGCAGAACAAAUGCGCCGGGCUUGGUGCCUGAAGUGCCGCAACAGGUCCAACCCCAGAACACGGGGAGAAACUGCUUCCGGUGGGUUUGAAUUUCCGCCGCGCUUCUCACGGGGAAAAGUUACACGGAGGCGUCCGUUCCCCAGGUAGUUUGGGCCACCCCACAGACAGCGGAUGCCAGGGCUCCGGAUGCCCAGUUCCUUGGUCUUUUCAGAGCAUCCCUGGAUACAAAGUACGACGUCCACGCGUGAGAGGCUCCGGGUCUGGCAGUGUGCAAGUCACGUGGAGCACGGGUCGCAUGGUAUACGGUUACACGGUGGGAUGGGACA